GAGUAAGUUACUAAGGGCACACGGUGAAUGCCUAGGCUCUCAGAGGCGAAGAAGGACGUAAUAGACUGCGAUAAGCUGUGAGUAGGUGUCUAUAACCGCUCAGUCACAGAUUUCCGAAUGGGGCAACCUAUCCUUUUUAAAGGAUGAUAUAAUCGCAAACCUGCCGAACUGAAACAUCUAAGUAAGCAGAGGAAGAGAAAAUAAUAAUGAUUUCCUGAGUAGCGGCGAGCGAAAAGGAAAGAGCCCAAACCCAUGUAGUUUAGGCUAUGUGGGGGUUGUAG
rnacentral:rRNA from 1 species